UACGUAGGUGGCAAGCGUUGUCCGGAUUUACUGGGCGUAAAGAGCGCGCAGGCGGUCGAAUAAGUCGAAUGUGAAAGCCCCCGGCUCAACUGGGGAGGGUCAUUCGAUACUGCUCGACUUGAAGGCAGGAGAGGGUAGUGGAAUUCCCGGUGUAGUGGUGAAAUGCGUAGAUAUCGGGAGGAACACCAGUGGCGAAGGCGACUACCUGGCCUGUUCUUGACGCUGAGGCGCGAAAGCUGGGGAGCAAACGGG
rnacentral:rRNA from 1 species